AUGAGUAUGCUCACACCUCAGAAGAGGCUCAUCUCUAGUGUCCUCCACUGUGGCGAGAAGAAGGUCUGGUUGGACCCGAUGAGACCAAUGAAAUCCCCAAUGCCAACUUCCGUCAGCAGAUCCGGAAGCUGAUCAAAGAUGGGCUGAUCUUGCGUCACCGCAAGCCUGUGACGGUCCAUUCCCGGGCUCAAUGCUGGAAAAGCACCUUGGCCCGCCGGAAGGGCAGGCACUUGGGCAUAGGUAAGCGGAGGGGUACAGCCAAUGCCUGAAUGCCAGAGAAGGUCACGUGGAUGAGGAGACUGAGGAUUCUGCGCCGGCUGCUCAGAAUCGAAGAAGAUUGAUCGCCACAUGUAUCACAGCCUGUACCUGAAGUUGAAGGGGAAUGUGUUCAAACACAAGCGGAUUCUCACGGAACACAGCCACAAGCUGAAGGCAGACAAAGCCCGCAAGAAGCCCCUGGCUGACCAGGCUGAGGCCCGCGGGUCUAAGACCAAGGAAGCACGCAAGCUCCGUGAAGAGCACCUCCAGACCAAGAAGGAAGAGAUCAUCAAGACUUUGUCCCAGGAGGAAAAGGCCAAGAAAUAA
rnacentral:lncRNA from 1 species